GCGCCUGUGCUCCCACGCGCUCUCAAUACUUGGAGAAAGAGAGAGAGGAAGAGAGAGAGUGAGAGAGAGAGAGCCCCACACCUCUCGCGAGAGCGUUGGCUCUUUGCAUCGCCCUCUGUCGAAGUGGAGUACUAUUAGCAUGGAACUCUGGUGUUGUUUGACAGAUUACAAAGAGGAUCAUAGAGAUGAGAAGAAAGAGUAGGCUCUGUUGUCCCUCAGACGGCACUGCUGCAGUGCGUCUUCGCACUUAGGCGGAGCGGUAGUGUGAGGAAGCCUCCCGCCAAACAGAUGAGAGAGGAGGAGGAGGAAGGGAGGGGCCAGAGAGAGAAGCGGCUUUCGGGAAGGAAAGUGUGGUCUAGGAGGUGGAAUAGUCCUCUCCAAACUUUGACCUGAGAAUGUCCCUCUAUUUGGAUAUGGAUUACACGAAGUUGAACAUUUUUUGGAAAAAUCCUACCUAGGUAAUGUGUCAUUCUCAGUGCAUCAUGUCAGGCAGCGUAUGAUGCCCAUUUGUCCCAUGAGAUUCUUCAGGCCUGGCCUCCACUUGAAUUUACUUGAAGAGCAUCGAAUACGAAUCUGCAGAAUUUCAGUGAAACUAUAGAGGAAGAAUGGAG